UACGUAGGGUGCGAGCGUUAAUCGGAAUUACUGGGCGUAAAGUGUGCGCAGGCGGCAAAGCAAGUCGAGUGUGAAAGCCCCGGGCUCAACCUGGGAACGGCGCGCGAAACGGGGGGGCUUGAGUUCGGGAGAGGAGAGUGGAAUUCCCAGUGUAGAGGUGAAAUUCGUAGAUAUUGGGAAGAACACCGGUGGCGAAGGCGGCUCUCUGGACCGAGACUGACGCUGAGGCGCGAAAGCGUGGGGAGCAAACAGG
rnacentral:rRNA from 1 species